ensembl:lncRNA
GGCUACAGCUCCAAUUAGACCUCUAGCCUAGUACCUCCCUAUGCCGCGGGUGCGGUCCUAAAAAGAAAAAAAAAAAAAGAGACAGCACAGAGUGCUUGUCAAGAUAGGUCCUGGAAUUUCUGUUGUGGCACAGCAGAAAUGAACCUUUCUAGUAUCCAUGAGGAUGCUGGUUAGAUCACUGGCCUCGCUCAGUGGGUUAAGGAUCCAGCAUCCCAGACACGGCUCAGAUCCUGAGUUGCUGUGUAGGCUGGCAGCUGCAUCUCCGAUUCGACCCCUAGCCUGGGAACUUCACACGCCUUGGGUUUGGCCCUAAAAAAGGCAGACAACAACAACAAAACCCUCACAAAAAAACCCAAACAGAAAAAAAGAAUAUAGGUCCUAGAGUUCCCUGGUGGCCUAGUAGUUAGGGAUCAGGCAUUGUCACUGCUAUGGUGUUGGUUCCAUCUCUGACCAGGGAACUUCCACAUGCCAGGGGCGUGGCCAAAAAAAAAAGGAAAAGAAUAUGGGUCCUGAGCUGUGUGACUUUGGGCCAAUCACUUAACCUCUCUGUGCUCCAGUUUCCUGAUCAGUGAUAUAGGAAAUAUGAUGAUAGCUCCUCCCACAAGGAUGUGUAGGGAUGAAAGGAGAUGAUGUUUGUCUGGUGCCAGGACCUGGAACGCACUCACAACACAUUAAUAAGGAAGGGAAAGCCUCAGGCCUGGAGAGGUGAGCAGCGCAAGAGCCCCAGUCCAGAAAAUGCCUUGCUGGAAGUUGAUAAAAUAGUGACAGCUGGCCGGCCUGGCCCCACCUCCCCGGCAGGUAUCCCCGCUUCCAGGCUGCCUCUGGGUUAAUAUCCAGGGCACACGGACCCUGACUUAGCUCCGUGCCACAUUCUGGCAGGAGGAUGGAGUGACAGUCCCUUUGACCAGAUUCCUGCCAAGGUCUUCUUAACUCUGGAGCAGGACGGAGAGGGACCAAACCUCGUGUCUGCCGCAUUCCAGCCCGGGACCACGGCCCACGCAGAAGGGCCUGGCGACUGUCGCAUGGUGCCCCCUGUUACUGUGAUGACCUGCUUUUUGUGGCAGAGUCAUCUUAAAACAGGAAAAUCACGGUCAGAAACCACAUGAUCCUCAAAGGGCUGGAGGGCAGGGAACCUGGCUGGGGAACCCCGAUUCCUGAGGACUACUCUGGCAUCCUGGCAAAGCCCAGCCCCCCCAAAAUUAUUUAAAAAAUUUUUUUUAGGGCCACACCUGUGGCAUGGGGAACUUCCCAGGCUAGGGGUCGAAUCGGAGCUGUAGCUGCUGGGCUACACCAGAGCCACAGCAACACCAGAUCUGAGCUGCAUCUGCAACCACCACAGCUCAACAAUGCCCGAUCCUUAACCCACUGAGCAAGGCCAGGGAUCGAACCUGCGUCCUCAUGGAUGCAAGUCAGAUUCGUUUCCACUGAGCCAUGACGGGAACUCCUGGCAUGUGAGUUUUUUUAUUCAGGGUUAUGCGUGUCUGUCUACACUUGUCUCUGUGUGUAGGUACAUAGUCUCAUUAUAUCUGUGUGUUUAUGUGGUAAUCAGAGCAAACACCUGUAUGGCCCUUCUGUCCACCAGGCUUCCGGGUGCACAGAGGUUCCAUGAGCCUAAUCCUUUCACCAAGGUGGGUGCUCUUAGGAUCUCGAUUUUCAGAUGAGGAAACUGAGACACAGAGGGGUUGAGCAACUUGCCCAAGGGUGCCCUGGUGGGAUUUGAACCUGGGCUGGUUUGCUCGAAGUCCGCCUCCUGCUCACACGCGUGCCAUGUCUGUAUCGAUAGGUGCCCUCAGGGAUCGGGUCCACUUAUGUCCCAUCCCAGCAUCGGGGAAGGGUGCCCGCACCCCGCCUGUGUGGUCAGGCAGGGGUGUGGGUGUGUCUGGUUCCCAUGUGCACGUGGGGGGGGAGAUAUGCAAAUGUGUGCACAGGUGUGAUGGGGGCCGACGGCCUGCCUCAGGCUCCAAGAAGGCCCGUGGUGCCAGGACGGGGCCAUCCUUUCCUGCCUAAGAGCAAAUCACAGGAAUGGCAGCCCCAGGGACUGUCCUGGGCCUUCUCCCCACCCUCCCCAGGCCCCAGAGGGCCUUUGUUGCCUUUACUGGGGACCCAGAGGAGGGGGGGCGGCCGCUACGGGAAUUCCUCCAGAACCCCCGGCUUUCAGCCUUUCAGGGGCGCGGGAGGCGCAUGGAAAACUCUGACCGCUGGUGGCGGCUGAGGGCGCAGGGUGGUCACGCGGGGUAGGGGCGCUGGACUCAAGCCUCAAGGGAGCAGGACUCAUGGCCUUUGCAGAACCAACCAAAAGCAGGCCCUGGGUGGCGCCUGCCUUGGACCUGGAGUCCGGCCAGCAGCCCUGGCCUGGCUCCGAGAGGCCUCCUCCAGGCUGGCCCAAGGGACUCUACACACCAGGAUGCUGGGCCAGAGGUCCAGAGAGGCGGGCGG